AUUGAACGCUGGCGGCAUGCCUUACACAUGCAAGUCGAACGGCAGCACGGGAGCAAUCCUGGUGGCGAGUGGCGAACGGGUGAGUAAUAUAUCGGAACGUGCCCAGUCGUGGGGGAUAACGCAGCGAAAGCUGUGCUAAUACCGCAUACGAUCUAUGGAUGAAAGCGGGGGAUCGCAAGACCUCGCGCGAUUGGAGCGGCCGAUAUCAGAUUAGCUAGUUGGUGGGGUAAAGGCCCACCAAGGCGACGAUCUGUAGCUGGUCUGAGAGGACGACCAGCCACACUGGAACUGAGACACGGUCCAGACUCCUACGGGAGGCAGCAGUGGGGAAUUUUGGACAAUGGGCGAAAGCCUGAUCCAGCAAUGCCGCGUGCAGGACGAAGGCCUUCGGGUUGUAAACUGCUUUUGUACGGAACGAAACGGCUCUCUCUAAUACAGGGGGCUAAUGACGGUACCGUAAGAAUAAGCACCGGCUAACUACGUGCCAGCCGCCGCGGUAA
rnacentral:rRNA from 1 species